rnacentral:rRNA from 1 species
UACACUGGACAGAAAAUCUACGGCUCGUGAGUCGAUGAAGGACGCAGCUAGCUGCGUGAUUUAGUGUGAAUUGCAGGACACAUUGAGCAUCGACGAUCUGAACGCGAAUUGCGGCCGCGGG